GUUGGCGGCCGCCAGCGUACAAACCAUGCAGGUAUGAUUUUCACUUAUAUUAAACGAUAUAACUAUUUUAAAUCAAUGUAUAUGACAGAAUUCAAUUGCAUAGGUGUCAGGUCUGAUCGCUGAUGGACAAUAAAUAAAAUUACCGUUUCUUGGAAGGAGAAAUAACAGAAAUUUAAAAAAGGGGGAGGGGUACUUCAAAAAAAAAGUAUCACACUUUAUUCUAGCUGCGGUACCAUACUGUUGCAUGCAUAAAUUUAUUCUCAUAGACAGAAAAUAGUGUUUGCUGGAUAUUAAAGAUGGUAGGAUCAACCCCUCCCCCAAAAAUACCCCACUGCAUUAUGAUUAUCAUUAUUGUGUGGCAUUAGCAUGAUUUGUAAGUAAGAAAGUGCAAAUCCUUAGUAAGUAAGUAAGUAAGUAAGUAAAACUUUAUUUGGAUUCGGCAUAUUGACAAACAGUACAAGCAUAUGCUCUAAUGAGCUUUUCACCGAAUACAAAAACAUAUGCAAUAAAAAAUAAAACAAGGCAUGCGGCAUGCAAAAUAAAUUAUAAAAAGCAGCACCAAAAAUUAGCUCUAAGCAAUAGCAUAUACAUGUAUCUGCUAUUGGAAGCCGCUUGCAUGAUUAUGAAUCAAAUGAGCUAGCAAUCAAAGGUUGCCCAUGAAAUUAUGGUGUCAUUAUUUAUUUGUACAUGUAUGUCAUGAAAAGAAAAAAUCUACUUCUGACAUAGGUUUUGAAAACUAAUUAUAUAUUUUUCUCUGUGUCUAUAAUUUCUAAACAAUUAAACAUUUAUAAGCUGGAGUAUAUCAGUAACACUCAAGAAUGUGUCCACUCCUUAAAAGGAAGAUAGAUAGAUAAUAAAUAGGCUGCAAAAACUAAUAGUUAUGUUCAAAUGCCAGAAUCAUGUAUUUUAAUUUACAAAAAUGUACAAGUACAAUGCAUAAUCACCCUUUUUUUAUUGGUUGGAUCAUCUAGCUACUAAUGGCUAGUUUACAGAAAACCAGGCAUAUAUAAUACUGUUAUAUUCCACUAACCAUAUAUAUGAUUAUAUAUUUUUUAUUUUUGUGUUUUUGUUGAAUUUAUGCUAUUUUGGUGUCCUUGUCUUCAAUUUUUCCCCCUUUAAGACUGGCAUGUGUAGGCUGAAGGUAAAGACACAGAAGAGUGCAGGGGGAAAUCAUGAUCAGUACCCCUCUUUUGUUGACUAGCUGUAUAUUUUAAAAUAUAUAGUGCUGAUUCUGAUGAUAGAUAAUUAUUUUUUAGGUUUCUUGUACUAAGUAACUGAUUAUCAUGACACUGUCAUAACAUGAUGUGCCAGGACAGGCAGGAGUAGUGAGAAGUAGCAGUUUUAAAAAUUUAUCGUGGGAAUUGUUAAUUUCAAUAGUAUUUUAUCUUUUGGUAAGUUUUAAAUAGUCUAAUAUAUAAAGUAAUUAGAAUUUUGAAUGUAUACAUAAGGGUUUGGAUGGGGUUAGAUGAUUUAAGAAUAAUGCCCUUAAAAAAAUAAUAACGGGCAAAAAAAAUGAAAAAUUAGAGAAAAAAGGGCAGGGUUAAUUUUUUGAAGAUUAGAGAAAAAAGGGGCUCAUUUUUUUAAGAUUAGAGAAAAAAGGGGUGAAAAUUAAAUGUUUACAGAAUAACAGCCCCCCCCCCCCAAAUCCAGACCCUCAUACAUACAUACAUGUACAUAUAGAACAUAAUAUUUUUUUUCAAAAAUAGGACAAGUGAAUUCAUGUUUAAAGUGUAAAUUAAGUUUCUAGUAUAAAGAAAUAAAAUUUAAUGACAAGAGUGCACACACUGAAAUGUCUCGCCUUCUUUACUAAUCAUUGAUAUUAUGUUGAUAGUCCUAAGUAUAAAGCUUUAACAACUGCCACAUAAACUUAACAUAAACCAAGAUAGCUAAACAUAGACAAAUGAACCAUGAAAAUGAGGUCAAGGUCAGAUGAACCAUGCCAGGCAGACAUGUACAGCUAAAAAUGCUUCCAUACAAUAAAUAUAGUUGACCUAUUACUUAUAGUUUAAGAAAAACAGACCAAAACACAAAAAACUUAACACUGUGCAAUGAACCGUGAAAUUGAGGUCAUGGUCAAAUAAAACCUGCGGGACUUACAUAUAGAUCAUAAAAUAUUUCCAUACACCAAAUAUAGUUGACCUUUGGCAUAUAAUAUUAGAUAAAAAGACCAAAACUCAAAAACUUAACUUUGACCACUGAACCAUGAAAAUGAGGUCAAGGUCAGAUGACAUCUGCCCGCUAGACAUGUACACCUUACAAUCAUUCCAUACAACAAAUAUAGUAGACUUAUUGCACAAAGUAUGGGAAAAAUAGACCAAAACACAAAAACUUAACUAUAACCACUGAACCAUGAAAUUGAGGUCAAGGUCAGAUGACACCUGCCAGUUGGACAUGUACACCUAACAGUCCUUCCAUACACCGAAUAUACUAGCCCUAUUGCUUAUAGUAUCUGAGAUAUGGACUUGACCACCAAAACUUAACCUUGUUCACUGAUCCAUGAAAUGAGGUCGAGGUCAAGUGAAAACUGUCUGACGGGCAUGAAGACCUUGCAAGGUACGCACAUACCAAAUAUAGUUAUCCUAUUACUUAUAAUAAGAGAGGAUUCAACAUUACAAAAAUUCUGAACUUUUUUUUUCAAGUGGUCACUGAACCAUGAAAAUGAGGUCAAGGACAUUGGACAUGUGACUGACAGAAACUUCGUAACAUGAGGCAUCUAUAUACAAAGUAUGAAGCAUCCAGGUCUUCCACCUUCUAAAAUAUAAAGCUUUUAAGGAGUUAGCUAACGCCGCCGCCGCCGGAUCACUAUCCCUAUGUCAAGCUUUCUGCAACAAAAGUUGCAGGCUUGACAAAAAACUAAGGUCAUAUAUAAAUGUAAAAUACUGCAAUCUUUUGAAACAGAUAAAAUAAUGUGAAAUGGCAAUUUUAGACCAUGAAAUAUAGUCCUCAUUAAAACUGAUUAUUUCUGUAAUAUGCUAGAAAUAUAGGUAGGGUUAAACAACCCUACUUUUGUACUUGAAUGUUGGUUUGAUAGUAAACUAAUGUGCAAUUUUAUAUGACUGUAAAUGAGAAAUCAGCUAAUUUUGAUUAUUUUUGUCAAAAUAGUCAAUAUUUAGAGAGUGUGUUCAAACUUCAGAUUACCAAAAAAACAUAUUCUAAGUAUGAAAAUAAACAGUUUUUCUAAGACUUGCUGAUCUUACUCUUUCAUAUUAUUACAUUCAAUUUUGGCAAAAAAUGACAAACUAUAGCAAAUUUAUAGCAACUCAAUAUUGAAAUCUGUCACUAAUCAUGUGUAUUCUUCAAAUAUCUAUAAAUUUGUGAUUUUUCUUUUCUUGAUUUGAAGUUGGAGAGAAUUUGAGAUUUGAGCCACUAUAAACAUACAUGUAUAAUAUCACUGUACUAGUAUACAUGUUUUUUAAGGGGGCAGCUGGACACCGCCUCCUGGUGGGGGAGUUUCUUGCUACAUUGAAGACCCAUUGGUGGCCUUCAGCUGUUGUCUGCUCUAUGCAUGGUCUGGUUGUUGUCGCUUUGACACAUUCCCCAUUUCCUUUCUUAAUUUUAUGUAUAAAAUAUAUCUCUGCAUAUCUGAAGCCCCAGACUAGUAAAAUUUCUUUUGGACUAGUAAGUUUUUGCAAAACUUUGUUUGAACCAAUGUCAGAUUAUUGGUCUUUGGACUAGUAGUUGAGAAAAGAUUUUGGUGCAGACUGUAUAUAUAUAUCACAUUUCCUUUAUCAAAAGUUUUUUUCAAGCAGAAAAAAUGAAUGGGUUGAAGAAAAAUUAUUGAAAGCUACAUUUGUCAAAAUUAAAUAUUUGCGGAAAAUAUGCUCUUUUUAGUGGCCUCCUCUCAUGCUUGUUUCUAGCUAUAAAUUGCACUUAUCAAAGACUUAGACAGACACAUGUUUUAUUUUACUAAACAUAUAUAUAUAUAUUAUAUCAGAUUUUGAAUUAUUUCUUCUAGAAUGGUGUUUUUCUAUGCAUUCUACAAACUAGUUUUCUUUAAACAAAGCUCUAAAAUACCUUGUGAAAUAUAAUUUUAGCUUUUAAAUUACAUUCUGUAGUACAUUGUAGUUGCAAAGGGAGAUAAGAUCAAUAUGUAAUAGCUUCAAAGAUAUGAAAAAAUAUAAUUUAUGUUAUAUUUUACUACAUUUUUGCACAUGAUCUCCUGAUAUGUUCUGAAUUUGAUCAUAGGUGGGUAUUUUUUUUUAUUGUUCAUCAUUUACAUGUAUCAUUAUGAAUUGGUUUUUUUUCUUAUUUUUGUAUGAAUUAUUCUGAUCAUUCAUAAAUUUGAUAAAGUCAAAUAGACAAUACCAAACUUUGAUUUAAAAUGAUAUGCAAUGCAGUACAUACAUGACAUAUACUAUAAAUCUAUUAAUUAAUGAUUUUUUCUUCUAGAAUGGACAUAUAUGGAACUGUAACACAGAGAAGCUGACUUGAAAGAAAUAUACUUAGUAUUUUGUGUGCUGAUAGAGAUUCUCAGAAUGACAGUCACAGACUUUUAUAAAUGUUGUAAUUCAAACAAUUAUCAUACACACAGG
rnacentral:lncRNA from 1 species